rnacentral:rRNA from 1 species
UACGUAGGGGGCAAGCGUUGUUCGGAAUUACUGGGCGUAAAGGGCGCGUAGGCGGCCUGUUAAGUCGAACGUGAAAUCCCCGGGCUCAACCCGGGAACUGCGUCCGAUACUGGCAGGCUUGAAUCCGGGAGAGGGAUGCGGAAUUCCAGGUGUAGCGGUGAAAUGCGUAGAUAUCUGGAGGAACACCGGUGGCGAAGGCGGCAUCCUGGACCGGCAUUGACGCUGAGGCGCGAAAGCCAGGGGAGCAAAGCGG